rnacentral:pre_miRNA from 1 species
GGUUAAUAAUUUUAUCUAUUUAUACUGUUAAAAACUAGAGUGACUAAUAGAAUAAUCAAACAAUGACAUGGCAUGCCACUUAUACUGCCUACUGUUGUAUGAUGAUUAAUUUUUAACAGUAAAAAUAGAUACAUUUUUUAAUA